CCUUGCUUCCAUGGCUGCCCGGCUUUCCUCCACAGGCAUUUCCCAUCACAAUCUUCUCCCUCACAUCCCCACCAUCCGUUCCUCCACAGUCAACAGCAGCCCCCGCCCUGGGAUCACUCCACACUCCCCAAACUCCAGCUCCCAGCUGCUGCACCUUCGAGGGGAACCUUCGUCCCUGGCCAGGAUGAUGAAUUUGUAGUGAAGGCAGAAGACCAAGGAUGAGGAGACAGCCAUCCAAAGUCCCAGGAGAGAUGGAAGAAACUGAUAUUAACGGUCAAGAAGAGGAGCUGGAUUUGACUUCAUGGUCUCUGCAGUUAUGACCACUCACUUCCUGUCUCUCUUGCUUUCUACAUCUGUCUGCUGUGCCUGUAACACCAACUUGGACCUCUGCUGCUAAAGCUUCAACUUCAGGGGUAUAAACAAAGAUCUCCUUUCAUUUACAGAGAGAGCAUUUUGCUCUGUUUACUAUUUUAGAAUAAUUUUUAAUAGAAUAGCCAAGAAGAAAAUGGACAAAAUAAAUCUACAAUUACAUGUUCAUACAGUGAUAGAGAGGUACCCUGAAUCCUUUCAUGGAAAGAAGGUGGUGGCAUUUCACACAAGCUGUUCCCAUCUACUUGUUCAUCUUAGAUGAGGAACACUCCUAUGAGUUGUUUGUGGAAGCCUGAGAUUUAACAAUAAUUAUUGUUUGGCUCUGAGAUGUUUGAAAUGAAGACAGAUGAUGUAAUAAGGAGAACAAAUGGGACUCCAUACUAGAAUUUUCUUUUACUUUAACCUUUGUAUUUUAUUGCCUUCACUUGAAGUUAAGAAUGCUGCCUAUAGUCUGAAAUGUAUAGGAUAGCCCAUUCUCAAGACUCUGAUCUUCAAGAGUAUAACAUUUUUCCUUUCAUACAGAGUUAAAAAGUUGCAGAAGAGAGAAUAAUAUUUUCUUCUCGGAGGUUACAGGAACAUCAUGACCUCACCUGCAUGGACAGUUACAAGAACAAAGGAUUCCGACACCAAGAAGUUUGC